rnacentral:rRNA from 1 species
GAACCUGCGGAGGGAUCAUUACCGAGUUUACAACUCCCAAACCCCUGUGAACAUACCUUACUGUUGCCUCGGCGGAUCAGCCCGCUCCCGGUAAAACGGGACGGCCCGCCAGAGGACCCCUAAACUCUGUUUUUAUAUGUAACUUCUGAGUAAAACCAUAAAUAAAUCAAAACUUUCAACAACGGAUCUCUUGGUUCUGGCAUCGAUGAAGAACGCAGCAAAAUGCGAUAAGUAAUGUGAAUUGCAGAAUUCAGUGAAUCAUCGAAUCUUUGAACGCACAUUGCGCCCGCCAGUAUUCUGGCGGGCAUGCCUGUUCGAGCGUCAUUUCAACCCUCAAGCCCUCGGGUUUGGUGUUGGGGAUCGGCGAGCCUUUCUGGCAAGCCGGCCCCGAAAUCUAGUGGCGGUCUCGCUGCAGCCUCCAUUGCGUAGUAGUAAAACCCUCGCAACUGGAACGCGGCGCGGCCAAGCCGUUAAACCCCCAACUUCUGAAUGUUGACCUCGGAUCAGGUAGGAAUACCCGCUGAACUUAAGCAUAUCA